GGCGGCAGGCCUAACACAUGCAAGUCGAACGCCCCUUCGGGGGAGUGGCAGACGGGUGAGUAACGCGUGGGAACCUACCUGGUGGUUCGGAAUAACUUGGGGAAACUCAAGCUAAUACCGGAUAAGCCCUAUUGGGGAAAGAUUUAUCGCCAUUGGAUGGGCCCGCGUCGGAUUAGCUAGUUGGUGUGGUAACGGCACACCAAGGCUACGAUCCGUAGCUGGUCUAAGAGGAUGAUCAGCCACACUGGGACUGAGACACGGCCCAGACUCCUACGGGAGGCAGCAGUGGGGAAUAUUGGACAAUGGGCGCAAGCCUGAUCCAGCCAUGCCGCGUGAGUGAUGAAGGCCUUAGGGUUGUAAAGCUCUUUCACCGGGGAAGAUAAUGACGGUACCCGGAGAAGAAGCCCCGGCUAACUUCGUGCCAGCAGCCGCGGUAAUACGAAGGGGGCUAGCGUUGUUCGGAAUUACUGGGCGUAAAGCGCGCGUANGCGGACCAUCAAGUUGGGGG
rnacentral:rRNA from 1 species